GUGGAUUAGAUACCCGGGUAGUCCACGCUGUAAACGAUGAGUGUUAGGUGUUGGGAUCGUAAGAUCUCAGUGCCGCAGCUAACGCAUUAAACACUCCGCCUGGGGACUAAGGUCGCAAGAUUAAAACUCAAAGGAAUUGACGGGGACCUGCACAAGUGGUGGAACAUGCGGUUUAAUUCGAUGUUACGCGAAAAACCUUACCAACUCUUGACAUGGUGGUCGCGAGGUGCAGAAAUGUACUUCUUCAGUUCGGCUGGACCACACACAGGUGUUGCAUGGCCGUCGCCAGCU
rnacentral:rRNA from 1 species